GGGGUCCCGGCACCCGUGGGUCCCCCCUUCCCUCCUCCCAGCCCCCUCGAAACCCGCUCUCGCACCCCUUGGGCUGAGCCCAACCCUCCCUCCGGUAACCGCGGCGUGACAAUGAAGGACAGCGGGGGAUGAGCGCGUGAAGCAGAAGAAACAACCCUGCAGCAGCUCACGUCUGUUUAACCCUUCCUGGCAGCAGCUCUUCAGUUAAACAUCAGCUGUCCAUGGCAGAGCUUUAGGGAUUGUGUUCCUUCUCCAAAUUCUGGGCUCUAAGGAUGCUGAAGGUGAAGCAGUAUUACCUCCCCAGUCCAACGCACACAAGCAGUGCGUGCACUGUGCUGUGAACUACAGGGCAGCCUGACCUGAUGGAAGAUUUUAUUACGGCAGCUACGGCAAAAAGCAGCUCCUGAAGAGCACCUCUCAUAUAAAGCUGGUGCAUUGCACACAAAAGACUUGCAAAGCGACUCUUGCUGCUGAAGUCAAGCCAAAACUCUUCAUAUUUCCCACACAACCAGAGUGUGAUCUUAUCACAGGAGCUGCAGUCAGAGCCCGUGCAUUGGCACAGCUCCUUUGCUAUUGUUGAGAAAGUCUUGAUGUGAGAAAAUGUAGAAUAAUAAUGAUCCCUCCCGAAGUGUAUUGUUACUCUUUAUUCUGUAUUUGCUCCGGUAGCUCCACCGUUAAAAAGGGAGAGGAAAACCCAAGAAAAGCCAUCACCUGAAGUCCCUCAGGACAAUGUUCAAAGUGAUGAGAAAGAGCUUUGCCAGCCAAAGAUCUGCUGGAAAAGGGACUUCAGCCUAUUAAUUUCCCAGCUUUCCCACAACAGUUUGGAGAGCUUUUGUUUCCCAUUGUUGUAAGACAGAUUUCUAAUGCUCUCUUCAUUAAGAACCCUGCAGUGAUGUGACAUCCCACCUGGCUCCCAGCCUCAUCCAUCCUGGUGGGGUGUCUCGUACCUGCUCCGAGGUGCUCCCUGCUCCCGGCGGGCUCACUGGUGCCAGGCAGGAGGAGGAAUGGGAGCACCAGUUAAUGCACACAAAAGGAUGGAAAAAAACCUCCUGUGAUUUACCCACCCGGAAUUCAAUAAACAUUAGAUCUGAUGGCA
rnacentral:lncRNA from 1 species